AAUCAACGCUGGCGGCGUGCCUCAGACAUGCAAGUCGAACGAUUAAAGCUCCCUUCGGGGAGUGCAUAAAGUGGCGCACAGGUGAGUAACACGUAAGUAAUCUACCCUCGAGUGGGGAAUAACGUCCGGAAACGGACGCUAAUACCGCAUAAUGCAGCGGCACCGCAAGGUGACAGUUGUUAAAGAUUUAUCGCUUGAGGAGGAGCUUGCGGCAGAUUAGCUAGGUGGUAAGGUAAUGGCUUACCAAGGCCGCGAUCUGUAACCGGUCUAAGAGGCAGGGCGGUCUCACUGACACGGAAUAACGGGUCAGACUCCUACGGGAGGCAGCAGUCGGGAAUUUUGGGCAAUGGGCGAAAGCCUGACCCAGCAACGGCGCGUGAAGGAUGAAGUAUUUCGGUAUGGAAACUUCGAAAGAAUGGGAAGAAUAAAUGACGGUACCAUUUAUAAGCUCCGGCUAACUACGUGCCAGCCGCCGCCGUAAUAC
rnacentral:rRNA from 1 species